UACGUAGGGGGCGAGCGUUGUCCGGAUUUAUUGGGCGUAAAGAGCGUGUAGGCGGCCAGGUAGGUCUGCUGUGAAAACUCGAGGCUCAACCUCGAGACGUCGGCGGAAACCAUCUGGCUAGAGUCCGGAAGAGGAGAGUGGAAUUCCUGGUGUAGCGGUGAAAUGCGCAGAUAUCAGGAAGAACACCCGUGGCGAAGGCGGCUCUCUGGGACGGUACUGA
rnacentral:rRNA from 1 species